CGCCACGACCUCUUUGUCAAAAAAAUGACACUUCUCGUGUAUCAUUUUCAAAAGUGAAAAGCAGCCACGUAAAAUGGACAGGAAAAAGACGAACAAGCGAUAAAUUACCUGCCUCGUUGAUUUAUGGUCAACAAGAAGGGGCGUGACACUUCCAAUAACUUAUAAAUUAUUAUACAAUUAUAAUGUUUUUGUAGAUUUAUAGACGAUUAUAAUUUUAUAGACAGCUUAUACUUAUACAAUUUUCGAACUUGUUUUCGAACUUAUUCUCAGUGUGCGGUGAAUUUGUGUGAGUUGUCACUUUUAUUGUUUACAUUGUUGAAAUCAAGACGUGCAUAACUAAAAUUUUAAAAUCGAACGCUUUUGUACUUGCGCCAUAAAAAAAGAUAUCCGGAAACGAUCACAGAGGUCAAAUUGCUUAUGGGAUAGCAGAAUAUUGAACAAACCUCUCACGAGUUCUGGUGUUGAAUUUGAGCAAUAUUCCGGCCAGCCCGGCAGGAUCUGCACAACGAGCUAAUCAUAUUCCAGACAUCAAUGCCGGUAUGUUCCGGGUAGUGUAUUCAACGCCAGAGUAUGACCGGGGACGCGGGUAAUUAUAUGCUACAGCAAAUAUCCGAUCAACUGGUACUGAUUGCAAUCAACGACGCUCACUGUGUGAGUGACUGACGGGUGACGAUUUUCGCCCGGCUUAAGGACAUCUCCGUGUAAUUCGUACGGAUUCGCAUUUUAGCAUUGAUGGCAACUGCAACUUCCAAUGUUCGUGAAGAUAUUGUGGCAAACCUUGGUUUGCGUAAUCUGCAAGUUUUGUGCACUAGGUUCGAUCGACCGAAUCGGAAGCUUUAUGUUAAAAUUAAGGGCUCCCUUGGUGUGUGGAAGGAUCUUUGAGGAUUGCUUAGCAAAAACACUGAAGGCAGCAUCAUAAUCUACUACUGACUCGGAAGGAAACGGAAGAGAUUGUGGAGCUGUUGAAGAGCAAACGAAUUGAUUGUGAGCCGUAUCAUGCGGGUCUUUUACUGAAACAGAGGCUUUCUGUACACAAAAACUGUCCGAGGCCGCAUUCAGAUUAUUGUAGCUAUGACAGCUUUCGGAAUGGGAAUUGACAAACCGGAUGUUAGAUUGGUCAUUCACUAUGGUGCGGCGAAGGAUUUAGAAAGUUAUUAUCAGGAAGUCUGUAGAGCUGACCGGUAUGGACAACCAUCCAAGUGUAUUAUGUUUAAGAGUA